UUACUACUGCAAAAUCUAUGAAACCCCUUGUUGUAAAAGCUCUUAGAAAUUCAAGACGUGCGAAGUUUUAAGAGGCUCCAUGGUACUGCUACUUAAGGGAUAAAUCGUUUAAGCAGUCUUACGAAUAGUGGUUAAAUUGGUCCACUUUCAAUGAAAAAUUAAAUCCCUGAGUUGAUAGCUGGAUAGUCCCCUGUAAAUUGUAAACAGAUAUUUGAAGUUAGGGCCUAAGUUUGAAAAUGAUGCCCCCCGGAGAAGCUCUAGAAAAUGGCGCGAUCUCAGGGGAGGGUCGGAUGCUCAAAAGAAAUCAACGUUACGGAUCUGCUGUUUACGGGUAUACUCCCUUGCAAGUGAUCCACAUACUUGGGAGAUUCAUGCGUCUGUGGUCUGUUUAUGCAACAUACCAAUAUUUGUCCCAGACUGGUGUCUCAGUUAUUGUGUUCAUGUUUAUUUGUAUACUUUCAUCAACAAUGAUCUUUUUAGUGCUACAGAAACCAUGGAAAGGCCGACCUCUGUCUACUUCGCAGGUGGUGCCUUCAGUAAUUAAUGGAGGAAUAACGGCACUAUAUUUCUUACUAUGGGGGAAGGGACUUGAAUCUUGUGGUCCAGUAAGGGCAGUCUUAGCAGAGUAUGCAGGGGCUGUGCUUGGAGUUUUAUCGGCAUUCUUGUAUGGGCGAGGUGGUCAAAUUUGGAAGAAGGUGGGCGGACUCAUUGCAAUGGCAGCAUCUUUUUAUUUUUUGUCUCAAGGAUGGACCAUGGCAAGCUAUUCACCAUUCACAAUAAAAGAAAGCUCAGGGGAAGAUGUGUCUAUGUAUGAGGAAGGUAAAGUUGGGUUGCAUAAGAUGAUUGCUCCUAUUAUUGCUGGAGUUCUAUCAGCCUUGAGAAGAGUGAUUGCUCGGCGUGUUUCAUUGAAGACACAGCAGAAGAGGCGGCUUCAUGCUGUAACUAUUGCUUCUGCCACUUGCUUUAUAUUUCCUUUUGCUAUAUGGCAGUUAACUUUAGGGCCAAAUUUAGAGAAAAGUGAGCAUUCCACAUCUCCUACCUGGGCUUAUUUGAGCACCAUUUUAUUUGGAAUCGUGCUGAUAUAUUAUGUGGAUUCAUUUGUUGAAGACAGAUUACAUGUCAUGGCUUCUUCCCCAAAGCAUCUUAUGGUCACUGGAGGAUGUAUCAUUGUUUUUGAGAUUGUUUACAAAAUGGACUUCAGCCUUAUAGGAUUUCUGAUUUGCACUACAAUUCUGGGCUUAGGGAUGUUUGAAGCAACUUCUUUAGAACGUGCAAGGCGAGAUUCUAUUUAUGCUGUGAAUGCAGCUGGUGAAGAAUUUGAUGAUUCAAUUACAAUGUCUCCACUUCCUUCUUAGCUAUGGGCCUUCUAUGCUGUUCCUUUUCCCCUGGAAUCAUUUCCUUCAUUAUAUGUGAUGGAUGAAUAAUAACUAGCGCCAGUUAGAAAGUUUUGCAUGCCCAUUGCAAGCGAUGGAAAAGGUGAUGGAUGCCAACUCAAGGAAGAGAUUUCCAAAAAGGUGAAGAUGAAACAAGAGAAGUAGUUGGAAAGAUGAUUCCACAAUGCAAAUGAAGGACGACAUUCACGCUUCAAGGUGGAAUCCAAGGAUGAAAGGAACAAAGAAGGACUUAUACUGCAUCAAGACAUUCAAGAAGAUUAAGUCAAGACACAAUGAGAAUGAAGAAAUUUUUCUAAUCAUCUUGUAUUUCCUUCAUAAAUCGAAGGGUAAGGGUCAAUCCAAGGAGGUAAUUCUGGUUAAGGAACGUUGCAACAUGAAGUCAAGAACUCCACCCAGGAAACCAAGUCCAAGGCAAAGAAUUUAAUAAUAAAGGAAGGAAGACAGUUUCAAGAGAGUUAAUCAAAGUUCAAAACUUGAUCAUCCAAAAGAUAUUGCUUAAAGUAUUAGCACUUCUUCAUGAUGGGGAAUCAAAUUUGCAAGGCAAGCUGAGGUCGCAUCCCAGUCAUCAAUCAACCAAUCCAAGGGUUCCAAGUUAGGGACAUCCAAGUGCAAUGAACCAUACUUAGCAAGUGCAAGAUAUUGAAUGAUUUUCAGUGGCUUCUAUUUUCUCAUUGGUUACCCAAAGUAUUGUAAUUUCUCAUUGGCUGAAAGGAGUUUUUUGCUAGCUUGCCCUAAGUAGGGUUUAAUGUUUUAAUCUUGGUCAUUGAGCUUGGAUCAAUUUGGGCCUUUGCUUUGUAAUGUGGUUCCUAUAUAAACCCUCCUCUCAUUUGUAAAGGGAGAGAUUUUAGAGAAAUUGCUGUAAUAAUACUUCUUAAUUGCUAAGACAUUAUUCAUCAUUCAAUUGUUGGUAGAUUUUGUCUACUUUUGCAAGUUAGCAUGGUUUCUUGGCUCUCAAUAGAAUAGGUCUUAUUUUCAA